CCCUUAGAUGUUCUGGCUGCACGCGUGCUACACUGAUAUUGCCAAUAUGUCAUUCUUAUCCGAAAUGGAUUGGGUAAUCAAGUAAUGAAAUUUCAUGCUUGGAAUCGGUAAUUGCAAUUUUAUCGUGAACGAGGAAUUCCUAGUAAGCACUAGUCAUCAGCUAAUGUUGAUUAUGUCCCUGCCCUUUGUACACACCGCCCGUCGCUACUACUGAUUGGGUGUUCAAGUGAGAUGCUUAGACCCUUGUUGCAUGGUUCAUUAUUGUGCUCCGAAAGGAAAAAGUUUCAAGCUUGAGUGUCUAGAGGAAGCAAAAGUCGUAACA
rnacentral:rRNA from 1 species